AACGAACGCUGGCGGCAUGCCUAACACAUGCAAGUCGAACGGGACCUUCGGGUCUAGUGGCGCACGGGUGCGUAACGCGUGGGGAUCUGCCCUUAGGUACGGAAUAACUCAGGGAAACUUGAGCUAAUACCGUAUAAUGACUUCGGUCCAAAGAUUUAUCGCCUAGGGAUGAACCCGCGUAGGAUUAGCUUGUUGGUGAGGUAAAGGCUCACCAAGGCGACGAUCCUUAGCUGGUCUGAGAGGAUGAUCAGCCACACUGGGACUGAGACACGGCCCAGACUCCUACGGGAGGCAGCAGUGGGGAAUAUUGGACAAUGGGCGAAAGCCUGAUCCAGCAAUGCCGCGUGAGUGAUGAAGGCCUUAGGGUUGUAAAGCUCUUUUACCCGGGUA
rnacentral:rRNA from 1 species